GAUGAACGCUGGCGGCGUGCCUAAUACAUGCAAGUCGAGCGAACAGAUAAGGGGCUUGCUCCUUUGACGUUAGCGGCGGACGGGUGAGUAACACGUGGGUAACCUACCUAUAAGACUGGGAUAACUCCGGGAAACCGGGGCUAAUGCCGGAUAACAUUUAGAACCGCAUGGUUCUAAAGUGAAAGAUGGUUGUUCUAUCACUUAUAGAUGGACCCGCGCCGUAUUAGCUAGUUGGUAAGGUAACGGCUUACCAAGGCAACGAUACGUAGCCGACCUGAGAGGGUGAUCGGCCACACUGGAACUGAGACACGGUCCAGACCCCUACGGGAGGCAGCAGUAGGGAAUCUUCCGCAAUGGGCGAAAGCCUGACGGAGCAACGCCGCGUGAGUGAUGAAGGUCUUCGGAUCGUAAAACUCUGUUAUUAGGGAAGAACAAAUGUGUAAGUAACUGUGCACGUCUUGACGGUACCUAAUCAGAAAGCCACGGCUAACUACGUG
rnacentral:rRNA from 1 species